AUUGAACGCUGGCGGCAUGCCUUACACAUGCAAGUCGAACGGCAGCGGACCUUCGGGUGCCGGCGAGUGGCGAACGGGUGAGUAAUAUAUCGGAACGUACCUUUCAGUGGGGGAUAACGUAGCGAAAGUUACGCUAAUACCGCAUAUUCUGUGAGCAGGAAAGCAGGGGAUCGCAAGACCUUGCGCUGAUUGAGCGGCCGAUAUCAGAUUAGCUAGUUGGUGAGGUAAAGGCUCACCAAGGCGACGAUCUGUAGCGGGUCUGAGAGGAUGAUCCGCCACACUGGAACUGAGACACGGUCCAGAUUCCUACGGGAGGCAGCAGUGGGGAAUUUUGGACAAUGGGCGCAAGCCUGAUCCAGCCAUGCCGCGUGAGUGAAGAAGGCCUU
rnacentral:rRNA from 1 species